rnacentral:rRNA from 1 species
GACAGAGGUGCCAAGCGUUAGGCGGAAUCACUGGGCUUAAAGCGUGUGUAGGCGGAUCGUUAAGUACCUUGUGAAAUCCCACGGCUCAACCGUGGAACUGCUGGGUAUACUGGCGGUCUUGAGCCACCUAGGGGCAACUGGAACAAGCGGUGGAGCGGUGAAAUGCGUAGAUAUCGCUUGGAACGCCAACGGUGAAAACAGGUUGCUGGGGGGUGUGCUGACGCUGAGACACGAAAGCCAGGGGAGCGAACGGGG